ACAUUUAUGAAUUGUAUUUUUCAGAUGGAGAAACUGAGGCAGCACGUGGUUAAUUGUUUUUCCCCACCUUCCACAUGUAUGAAACAUCAAAUUUGAAAUUACCAUUUAUGAAUAUCUUCUGCCUUCCAGCUCUGUGCUGCAGAAAGAAAUUGCCAGUGGAUGAGAUGGGAAUGGAGCAGCACCGUAUGCAUCCGUCCUUUCCAUCAAGGAAAAGCAAACCUUUUCAGAAACACACCUUCCAAUAACUUCUUAAGCCUCCCUGCUUAAUCCUGAGUCAAAAGGUACCCUGCCCCCCUGCCCCCAACUUCAAGAAAACAAGGGACAAGACUGUCAAGAGUGACCAAGACAAAUCCUGAUCCAUUGCCUAUGUCUGGGCAUAGUGACCUUUGCACAAGAUUGGAGUUCUAUUAGCAAGGAAGCAAGGUGGGAAAUGAACAUUGCAAAAAGGUAGUUAACACAGGGUGUUCGACUACUGACGUUCUUCCAUAGAAACAAUAUUGGGACAUUGGUAUAUUGGCAUAUUUAUAUAUUUUUACCUCUUGCAAAUAUAGUAAACGUAUUCUUUAC
rnacentral:lncRNA from 1 species